GACUUGUUCUAUAAUGCAUUAUAAAAACAUUAUAACUUAUCUUUUAAGCAUCUAUAACUCUUAAUAAACUAUUUAAAAAUGACAGCUUCAUAUAAAGUGUUACCAUCAACUUCAGCAAGAAGUUCAUCGCGUUGCUAUAGGUUUUGUGAAUGGAGGCUGUUCUGCUGUGAGUAUAUCGGGGUGCUCUGUGCUCCCCUCGUUAAUGAUCGCGUUGCUAUAGGUUUUGUGAAUGGAGGCUGUUCUGCUGUGAGUAUAUCGGGGUGCUCUGUGCUCCCCUCGUUAGUGAUCGCGUUGCUAUAGGUUUUGUGAAUGGAGGCUGUUCUGCUGUGAGUAUAUCGGGGUGCUCUGUGCUCCCCUCGUUAAUGAUCGCGUUGCUAUAGGUUUUGUGAAUGGAGGCUGUUCUGCUGUGAGUAUAUCGGGGUGCUCUGUGCUCCCCUCGUUAGUGAUCGCGCUGCUAUAGGUUUUGUGAAUGGAGGCUGUUCUGCUGUGAGUGUAUCGGGGUGCUCUGUGCUCCCCUCGUUAAUGAUCGCGUUGCUAUAGGUUUUGUGAAUGGAGGCUGUUCUGCUGUGAGUAUAUCGGGGUGCUCUGUGCUCCCCUCGUUAUUGAUUUCAGUUGUGUUGCACAGUCGAAACACAGCUAACUGCGGAACGAGUGAUUUCGGAGAUACAGACACGGAGAUGACUUCAAGGAGGAGGAAACAAAGAUGUCUCCACAGCUGCAUGGGAACCUCAGCAUUUCCCCGGUUCAUUAUUAAUAGCGGGCUGUCAAGACUUGUCAGCGGGUCGAGCGAGGUGAGAUAAAGACACACACAGGAUUAUUUAAAGUCGUUCGUGACUCGCAUGACUCUGAACAGGUCUGUGUUUCUCUCUCGUCAUGAACCAGCUGCUGCCCAACCCAAGGAACUGCUUUGAAGACAUUUCCUUCCUGUGUCAUGUGACCCGCAGCUCGCUUCAGCUACAGUGAAGAGGAGCGCUUGUGCAAGUCGAUUUUAUACUUCGUAUUGUUGAGGAUAUUGGAUAAUAAAACUAUAUGCAUAAUAAUAAUAAUAAUAAUAAUAAUAAUAAUAAUAAUAAUAAUAACAACAUAAUAUAAUACUAAUAAUCAGAGCUGAAAGUCAGCCUGUACGGCCCGGAACUGCAUACCGGCAAAACAUCUUGUCAAGAGGAGAAACCCAGCUAACUGAGGAACGAGUGAUUCAGUAGAGAGUGGCAUGGACCCGACUCCAAGGAGAAGAAGAAGGAGUAAAGAGAAUGACCCUCCUGAUAUGUCACAAGAGCCUGCCAGACAGACAGAGGUUUCUAUGCGCUGUGUUGGGGUCCAGUGUGAGCUGACAGGAAUCUGAUUGAAGAGAAGAGGACGGGUAGAGGAGAGACGGUUAGAAAAGUCAAAUCACUGAGAAAAUCAACAGUCAUUGUCUGCUGCAUCCUCACAUCCUGUUUAUGGAAGGUGUGUGUGUUGUUUUAAUUAUUUUUUUUAAUACAUUUUGACCACUUUUUUAAACUUUUAAAUUGCAUUCCCUGCCUCAAAAUGGCUUCCUGUGGACCGGCAUGGACCUCUCAGAACUACAUUUCCCAUCAUCCUCUUGUUCACUGGUAAUUCCAUCUCAAUCACAUAUGUGAGCAGGAGGAUGAUGGGAAAUGUAGUUCUGAGAGGCCCAUGCAGUUACAUGUGAAGCUAUCUAUAAGUAUAAAAAAGUGGUCAAAAUGUAAAAAAAAUAAAAAUAAUUAAAACAAUACACACACCUCACGUAAACAGCUGUAGCAACACAUGGGAACAUGCAACACAAUAAAAUACAAAGGUCCUUAUGAACCCUUUAAACCCUCUUGCUGUUUGAUUGUUUUGUUCAUUAUAAUUCCUCAAUCUUAUCAAACUUCUUCAAUUGGAACCAAUCAAAUGCAGUUCUGCAUACAAUUACAGUUCACUUAAUGUUCCUACAGGGUAUGUGUUGCCAUUUUACCCACUCAGACCCCUUGCUUACUAAAUAUUUUCAAUAGAAUAUCGUCCACUCUUCAAAUAUCUGUCUAAUAUUUUAAUGAGCAAUCCAUCCCACAAGUGCAGUGAUACUGCAAUAUACAUUUACUACCAGCACAGGAUGACUGGGAGGGAUAGCUGUUCAUUUUACCCCACAACUGGUUUCACAUGCAUUGUACAUGUAAUAAAAAAUGGGAUGAUUAUCUAUUCAGGGAUACCAAGAUAUUUAGGAAGAGAAAGGUCUGAGUGGAAAAACAGGCAACAAAUGCCCCUCCCCCAGUCAUUCUGCAUGUAUUCAUCUGAACCAAUACUUGUUGGAGAGGAGUGUAGAUUAAUGGCUUCACAAUUACUAAUAAAUAAUAAUAAUUGCUGCCCUCAAGCUCCACCCCUCCCUGUUCUGUAGUGUUAGCUCUUCUCUCAAUGGAGUGACACAUCUUUCAAUCAAAUGUUUCA